AUUGAACGCUGGCGGCAGGCCUAACACAUGCAAGUCGAGCGGAUGAAGGGAGCUUGCUCCUGGAUUCAGCGGCGGACGGGUGAGUAAUGCCUAGGAAUCUGCCUGGUAGUGGGGGAUAACGUCCGGAAACGGGCGCUAAUACCGCAUACGUCCUGAGGGAGAAAGUGGGGGAUCUUCGGACCUCACGCUAUCAGAUGAGCCUAGGUCGGAUUAGCUAGUUGGUGGGGUAAAGGCCUACCAAGGCGACGAUCCGUAACUGGUCUGAGAGGAUGAUCAGUCACACUGGAACUGAGACACGGUCCAGACUCCUACGGGAGGCAGCAGUGGGGAAUAUUGGACAAUGGGCGAAAGCCUGAUCCAGCCAUGCCGCGUGUGUGAAGAAGGUCUUCGGAUUGUAAAGCACUUUAAGUUGGGAGGAAGGGCAGUAAGUUAAGACCUUGCUGUUUGGACGUGACCAACAGAAGAAGCACCGGCUAACUUCGU
rnacentral:rRNA from 1 species